rfam:Pseudorhodoferax sp. Leaf267 contig_1, whole genome shotgun sequence.
CGCGUUUUUCGCCCAGGCGGAGCUCGACCGCCGACUCAAGUCGUAAAUGACUUCAUCGACGAGCACCGCGAUACCUUCGGGGUCGAGCCGAUCUGCAAAGUUUUGCAGGUCGCCCCU